rnacentral:rRNA from 1 species
AGCGAACGCUGGCGGCAGGCCUAACACAUGCAAGUCGAACGAACUCUUCGGAGUUAGUGGCGGACGGGUGAGUAACACGUGGGAACGUGCCUUUAGGUUCGGAAUAACUCAGGGAAACUUGUGCUAAUACCGAAUGUGCCCUUCGGGGGAAAGAUUUAUCGCCUUUAGAGCGGCCCGCGUCUGAUUAGCUAGUUGGUGGGGUAAUGGCCCACCAAGGCUACGAUCAGUAGCUGGUCUGAGAGGAUGACCAGCCACAUUGGGAAUGAGACACGGGCCAAACCCCUACGGGAGGCAGCAGUGGGGAAUCUUGCGCAAUGGGCGAAAGCCUGACGCAGCCAUGCCGCGUGUAUGAUGAAGGUCUUAGGAUUGUAAAAUACUUUCACCGGUGAAGAUAAUGACUGUAGCCGGAGAAGAAGCCCCGGCUAACUUCGUGCCAGCAGCCGCGGUAAGAC